rnacentral:misc_RNA from 1 species
CAUUAUCGUACAACCGAGGUGCAAGGGCUGUCGCUGACCUCCAAAGGUUGUGCACGCCCGAGCGCUCUCACACAAUCCAUCUCACACCCCUUUGUGCAUCACCGCGAGGGUCCCAGUGGCUGUAACGGCCCCAAGGUGGGAAUGCGAGGCGAUGUUUUCCCCAACGGAGUCCCGUGCUCGUGCGCCGAGUUCAAGACUGUCCCCUCCAGAAAACUUUGGUGUCCAUCGUCCCUCACAGCGUAGGCUGUGGUCGGAUUUGGAGUAAUCGGCCCUUGUCUAGCCAGGGAAGCAAUUCCGCAGCUAGCAGGACUCACCGAGUUGGUCUUAGGAGAUCAGGGCACGUCAUCUGUCGCGCGGGUGCGCCGUGUCCCUCGUAGACCUUUAUACCUCGCGUUUUCACACAAACCUCUGAUACAGUGUAGAAUGUUAUUUUACCUUUUGCGGUCACACGCAAUCAAUACAACUUUCAACAACGGAUCUCUUGGCUCUCGCAUCGAUGAAGAACGCAGCGAAAUGCGAUACGUAAUGUGAAUUGCAGAAUUCAGUGAAUCAUCGAAUCUUUGAACGCACCUUGCGCCCCUUGGCAUUCCGAGGGGCACACCCGUUUGAGUGUCGUGAAAUCAUCAAAACCUUUUUCUCUUUGAUCCCAAAUUUAUUUUGGUCGGGAAAAGGAUUUUGGACUUGGAGGUUCCAUGCUCGCUUUCUUUUGAAAAGAGCGCAGAGAAAUGCGAUAUGAAAUGAGAAUCGGAGAAUACAGAGUAUCAUAGUUUUUGAAAGCGCCCCUUGCCCCCCUGGACUUUCAGAGGGACACCCCCGUGAGAGUGUGGUGAACAUCUCAACCCUUUUUUCUUUGAUAUCCCAAAUUUAUUUUUGUGGGAAAAAGGAUUUGAGUCGGAGAGUUCACAUUCUCGUUUUUUUGAAAACGCGAGCUCCUCUCAAAUGAAUCAGUGGGGUCCGCUUUGCCGAUCCUUGACGUGAUAAGAUGCUUCUACGUUUUGGAUUUGGCACUGUCCCUUGGAUGCCUGCUUCUAACCGUCCCAUGGACAAAGAUGGUGCUCCGGUCAACCGCCGUCUACGUUGGCGGGGGGAGGCUGGACCCACAAGAAG